GAUAAACGCUGGCGGCGCACAUAAGACAUGCAAGUCGAACGGACUUAACUCAUUCUUUUAGAUUGAGAGCGGUUAGUGGCGGACUGGUGAGUAACACGUAGGUAACCUGCCCAUGUGCCCGGGAUAAUUUCUGGAAACGGAAACUAAAACCGGAUAGGUAGGGAUCUCGCAUGAGGACCUUAUUAAAGGGGCUGCGGCCCUGAACAUGGAUGGACCUGCGGUGCAUUAGCUGGUUGGUGGGGUAACGGCCUACCAAGGCGACGAUGCGUAGCCGACCUGAGAGGGUGACCGGCCACACUGGGACUGAGACACGGCCCAG
rnacentral:rRNA from 1 species